GACGAACGCUGGCGGCGUGCUUAACACAUGCAAGUCGAACGGAAAGGCCCUGCUUUUGUGGGGUGCUCGAGUGGCGAACGGGUGAGUAACACGUGAGUAACCUGCCCUUGACUUUGGGAUAACUUCAGGAAACUGGGGCUAAUACCGGAUAGGAGCUCCUGCUGCAUGGUGGGGGUUGGAAAGUUUCGGCGGUUGGGGAUGGACUCGCGGCUUAUCAGCUUGUUGGUGGGGUAGUGGCUUACCAAGGCUUUGACGGGUAGCCGGCCUGAGAGGGUGACCGGCCACAUUGGGACUGAGAUACGGCCCAGACUCCUACGGGAGGCAGCAGUGGGGAAUAUUGCACAAUGGGCGGAAGCCUGAUGCAGCAACGCCGCGUGCGGGAUGACGGCUUUCGGGUUGUAAACCGCUUUCGCCUGUGACGCAGCGUGAGUGACGGUAAUGGGUAAAGAGGCACCGGCUAACUACGUG
rnacentral:rRNA from 1 species